rnacentral:rRNA from 1 species
CACGUAGGUGGCAAGCGUUGUUCGGAAUUAUUGGGCGUAAAGGGCGCGUAGGCGGUUUGACAAGUCUGAUGUGAAAUCUCUGGGCUCAACCCAGAGUCUGCAUUAGAAACUGUCGGGCUUGAGUAUGGGAGAGGUGAGUGGAAUUCCCGGUGUAGCGGUGAAAUGCGUAGAUAUCGGAAGGAACACCUGUGGCGAAAGCGGCUCACUGGACCAUAACUGACGCUGAGGCGCGAAAGCUAGGGGAGCAAACAGG